UUGUUAUAAAAAAACGGUCUGUACCACCCUAGAUACCAUGUUCUAUGACCACGCUUUAUAAUAUUUUCCACUAAAUAAUAAGUAAGGUUGUGUAUAUUCUAAACGAAGUUGUCACUGAUUGUCACUUUAAAGACGAAGCCACUAAUCUCUCGUCACUUGGCUAAUAUCUACGUUUUGAAAUUAAAACUCGUGAGCAAUAUAUUAAGAUAACAUAAUUAAGUGCUAUAAUUAAAAUUUGAAUAUUAUUUAAAAAUCAGAAUUACUGGAAGAAUCUGAGUCUUCCGCUAGUUGGAUGAUGACAGGAGUUCUUCACAGUGGCGAACACUAUUUGCCCACAUCUCCGGAGUGUAAUGACCAAGAGCUUUUUGCCAAGUCUCCUUGACACGACAGAUCUUUUUCUCCGAGCUGGACUGAACAUGUUUAUUGUAAUAAGUUUUUAAGAACGCCCAACAUAGUUCAAUGGGAUUAUAUUGGCAAUUGUAUGGAGGAAGGCGAAGAACAGUAUGGCCAUGGUCUCUUAUUAAUUUGUCAAUUUCAAAGGAUUUUUCAAUUUGAGGCUUGUAAUAACGGAUUAUUUCCCAUAACGAUUUUUUAUUUAAGGUUGGUUCAAACUGUAUAUUAUGUUCAGUUAACCAUUUUUUCAUAUCAUUUUUUUUUGUGCAGAAACUUGGAGCUUUCUCGAUUUGUUUUGAGUGAUAUGGAGCGUUAUCCAUUACUACCGCACACUUCGCACCCAAAUUAUUUAAUGCUGGAAGUAAUUGAUUUUUCACCCAUUCCAUAAAAAUAAUUGACGUCAUAUUUUUAUGAUAAUCUCUGUGCUCCGUGUUGUCACUGAGCAAGAGAUCGCAAUUUGGCAAAAACCCUGACGAAGUGCCUGCGUGCAAGAUUGUAAAUCUUUUUCCUUCGCCUUCUGCUCUUUGCGGAAUACCGAAUCUUUCAUUUUCAUUUACCCAUUGAUAAACUUGGGUGCCAUUUUCGUAAA